UAGCAGGGCGCACCGAGGCUAGGUGGAAACAAAUGAGCUUGGAUCUUGAGGCGCGCCGGGCUCGGAGCCGCCAAACUUGCUAGCGGGCGGCGGGGGAGGUGGCUACGCGGCGCCGGGUGCUGAGCUCCGGGAUGUGCCCGCGAAGGCAGCCCCGCCCGCCCCGCCCCCAGCCCGCCCCCCACGGCGGGCGGCGGCGGCGCGGGGCUCGGGGCCCGGCCCCCGCUGCGGCUGCGUUCGCCUAGGAGCCGGGGCAGGAGCGCGGGCUUGGCUACUCUGGCUGGUUGCGCUCCGCACUGGAGGCCGGUUCAGUUCGCCUCCUUCGCCCGCGGAACUGCGAGGAUUUGGACUGCAGACGCGUCAGCCGCACCGAAGUCGGAGUCCCGGGACCUGCGGCCGAAAGGAGUGAGCGCGAGGCGCACGGCGCCCACACGGCUUCACGCGCUCCAGCCGGGCCAAGCCGCCGUUUCCGCGGUUGCGGUCUCCGUUUCCGCACCGCGGUGGGGGCUGCCGAAGUUGCCACAGUUCAUCCCCGCAGAGUGAAAAAGCCGCCGAACCCUCGCGGUCACAUUUUGGCCUCAUUUGCAAUUUCUCCGGGACCUCCAUCUUCUUUUCCGUCCCCCACCACCACACCAUUCUCUGAAGAGAAAAGCUGGGCUUUGUUUCUACUCGUGGGCAAGAAGAGAAUGCGUCCUCUCCCCUCUAUGCGACCAUUUCAGGACCUGACCUUCCCUAUGAAGAUCCCCCAGGUUUGAGACUUCUGUCCCACUUCCUAUUUGUCCCGCUGACAUCUAGGAAUGUUAUUUUUAGCUGGAUAUGUAGAGUCAUGAAAUCUGAAAUGACAGCUUCUGAUUUAUGCCAAAUGAGCCCCACAUAAUUUAAAGUUGCCUGGCUUUCUCAGUCUUCCCAGUCUCUCUGAACCCCUGCCCCACCUCACCACCACCAACCCUUUCGUAUUCACAACAGGGAUUGCAGAGGAGUCCGAGGAAACCUCAGAACAGCCCUCCCUCAUUUCCUGGAAACCGAUUCCAACGUUUCAGAAUCCUCUUCACUAAUAAGAAUGUGCCCUUCUCACUUUGUACCCACUUUCACUUCGUAUAUCCUUAACCCCUACACAACUUUGACCCUAGGACUCCCAAUGAAGUUCACAAAAUUAGCAGCGCAUCUUAUAAAGAGAGAUUUCACUAACUUGCUCUUCUAGUCUCUGCCCUAUUUUUCUGGAUAUUUCUGUGUGCAAACCACUGUCCCACUUGCUCUUUAUGUUGUGGUCCUUUGGCAGAUGAAAAAGAAGUGAACAAGCAGGUAAAUUCCAACUUAAGAAGUCUGCUGUGCAAUCCAGAAGCUGUGCUGAAUGAUUAAGAAGUAAACUGAUGUCAGCCGACUCCAACUCAAAUUCAACUAAGGCCCAGAGAAAAUCUGUCUGCCUUGACUCUGUAUUUUCAUUAAUGGAGUCUACAUGUUUUUUCUUACACCUGGAGUGUGUUGUAUUUAAAGCUAACAUUAAAAUGACACAUCUUGAAGAAAAUAGGAUUUCUCAAGUCUUUGUGGCUUUUGUGGACAAGGACACCAUACUUCAUGCUGUAUUGUAAGAGCCAUUUCCUGUCUCUCCUCUGCAUUCUUUAAGUACACCUUAGCAGGAACAGCCUUGAGUGCUUUGGACUGUUGUUUACAAGGCCCUUUUAUUGAUUUCAGACAGCCCAGAAUCCUUAAAAGUACGGUAACCCCCCAAGGGGAAAAGGUGGUAUGGGUAAGAUCUUUGGAGCUCUCUAUCUUUAAAGUCUUUGUGUAAUUAGCUGGUCCUGUGGGAUGGAACUUUUAGCUUGUUCCAUGAAAAAAUAAGGCAAGACAUAUGUUCUGUCAUAGCUUUGCAGCAUAACAUCUAUUAACAGUAACAAGAGUUAAUCUCAACAAGGUCAUAAAGCUUUCCUAGAUAACUAAGUACUGCAAUCACCUCUUAUAGGUAUAAUCCUUAAAUGAGGCAUUUUGAGUGUGUAGGCCUGUUAAGCUAAGGUUACCUUCAUAGAAUGGGCCCACCAAGUUUCUGUAGUGACAAUAAAGGUACACAUGGCUAUGUAUAUAUUUGAUGGUGGGAUGUUACAGUGAGACCUGUGCUCAGUGGAAGCCCCAUUGAAACAUCUUACCUGAUGCCAAAUCCCAAGUCCUCCCUCCCCUUCAGUAUGGCCUCUUCUUCCUGACCUCUAAGUAUUGGGGAGCCCCAGGACUCACUCCUCAGCCCUUCCCUUCCAACCACACUCCCUCCUCCCUCCCUGUUAAGCUCAUCCCACCUCAUGGAUUUAAAUAAUAUCUAUACAUGGAUGACUCUCAAAUAUGCAUCUCUAUCCCCAGCCUCUAUUUUGAACCCCAGGCUUACAUAUCUACCUGCCUAUUAGACAUCUUGAAUAUAAUAUGGUCACAUCAUAAAAAUUAAAAACAUUUGUACUUCAAAGGACACCAUCAAUGAAGUAAAAAGACAACUCAUGAAAUAAAAAAGUAGGUUUGUAAGACAUAUCUGAUUGGAACUUGUAUCUAUUGAAAAACUAUUACAACUAAAUAAUACAAGACAAUAAAAGGCCCAGUUUGAAAAUGGGCAAAUGAUCUGAAUAGAUAUUACCCCAAGGUAUAUAUACAAGUGGCCAAUAAACACAUGAGUAAACGUUCAACAUCAUUAGCCAUCUGGAAAAUGCAAAACUACAGUGAGAUACUGCUUCACACUCACUAGGAUGGCUAGAAUAAAAUAGAAAAUAAAUGUUGGUAAGGAUAUGGAGAAAUUGGAACUCUCAUAUACUGCUAGUUAGACUGUAAAAUGUUCUUUAAACAGUUAAACGUAGAGUUGCUGUAUGAUACAGCAAUUCUAUCCCUAGAUAUUCACACAAGGUAAAUGAAAACAUAUGUCUGUAUGCUAACUUGUACAUAAAUGUAUACAGCAUUAUUCGAAAUAGCCAAAAAGUAGAAACCAAAUGUCCGUUGACAAAUAAGUGGAUAAAUAAAAUGUGGUAUGCCUAUAUAAUGGAAUAUUAUUCAGCAAUAAAAAGAAAUGAAGCAUUCACAUACUACAACAUUGACAAACCUUGAAAAUACUAUGCUAAGUGAAAGAAGUCUGUCACAAAUGACCAUAUAUUAUACAAUUUCAUUUCUAUGAAAAGUUAGGAAUAGGCAAAUCUAUAGAGACAAAACAUCUGAUUAGUGGUUGUCUAUGGCUUGGGGUUAGGGAGGGAGGAUUGGGGGUAAUGGCUAAAAAUGCAGGGGCUAUUUUUGGGGUAACGUGAAAGCUCUAAAUUUGAUUGUGGUGAUGGAUGUAAAACUCUCACAGAUAUUCACAAUAUAGUAUAAACCAUUGAAUUGUAUACUUUAAAUGAGUGGAUUGUGUGGCAUGUGAAUUAUAUCUCAAAGCUUUUUAAAAAUAUUUUAAUGAUUAUGACAAAAAAAAUUGCUAUAUGGUCAAAUGAGGACUUUUGAAAUUUCCCUUCUCUUAAAUUUCUCACUGCUGACUUCUAAGGACAUGGCAUGAGCCUUCACUAAGUGCUCCAACUAAUUAAUUCAGGGUCAUCCUUGACUUGCCCUGUGCCCCACACACAAAGCAUCAAGCCCUGUCAGUAUACCUUAAAGAAAUAAUCCCAAAUCAAAUUUCCCUUCUCACCAGGUCUCCUUCUCCCACCUUCCUCCAACCCAUCAUUAUCUCGUCCAUAGGCUACAGCUGUAGUCUCAAUGCUGCUCUCUGCCUCUGUUCUUUCACUGUGUAAUUCAGUCACCCCUGCCUUCAGUAGUCAUAGUCUGUGUUGUGUAAUAUGUAUCAGAUCACACUUUCUUGCUUAAAAUUCUUCUUGGAAUUUUCCAUCAUAUUUUGGAAAAAUCCAAACAUCUUAUGUCAUCCCUGCUUCUCUUCCCGGGUCCUUCUCUCCUCUUUCUCCCCCUCACUCCAGGUGGGCAAGCUUGUUCCUUAAAUAUUCCAAGUUCAUACCAUCCUCAUGGUCUUUGCACUUGCUGUCCCCUCUUCCUGGAAGUUUCGCUUUUAACAUGACUCAAAUCUAGUCUCACAUGUCAGCCCUUUGAGGAGACCUUGCCUAAAGAAUCUGCUUCUCACUUUAUUCCCAAAUUUCUCUGCCUUCUUACCAUGCUUUAUUUUUUAGAGUACUCAUUAUUUUCUAAAAUAAUAUUAUUUAUAUAUUUUGGAUAUUUUUUAGAAUGUUUGUCUAAAAUAUGAUUUAUAUGUUAUCAUAUUGUCUAAAAGAAUGUGAUUUAUAUACUUAUUUGUUCUCUGUCUCCUCCAAUAUAAUGCAAGCUUCUUAAGAAUAGGAAUUUUGUCUUUCUUGUUCACUAAUGUAUUUUUCCACCUAGAACAGUGCCUAGCACAUUUUAGGAGCUCAUUAAAUGUUGUUGAAUGAAUGAAUCAAUGGAUGUUCUGCCAGGAAGCGGCAUGGAGAAUGAACAUUUCUCAUUGGCUUUCACCAUGGCAACAGUGAGAAGACCUUUUCUCUCUGUCCCCCAUAGUUGCUCCAUUGCUGACUCUAUGUGGGGCAGCAGAUCCCAUGGAGGAAGAGUAAGAAGGACUCCUUUUUAAAUGUGCAAACUAAAAGCAGUU
ensembl:lncRNA